rnacentral:rRNA from 1 species
UACGAAGGGGGCUAGCGUUGUUCGGAAUUACUGGGCGUAAAGCGCACGUAGGCGGAUUGACAAGUCAGGGGUGAAAUCCCGGGGCUCAACCUCGGAACUGCCUUUGAUACUGUCAGUCUAGAGUCCGGAAGAGGUGGGUGGAAUUCCUAGUGUAGAGGUGAAAUUCGCAGAUAUUAGGAAGAACACCGGUGGCGAAGGCGGCCCACUGGUCCGGAACUGACGCUGAGGUGCGAAAGCGUGGGGAGCAAACAGG